rnacentral:lncRNA from 1 species
CCGGUCAGCUGUACCGCAGUGCGCCUGCGCAAAGCCAUAACCCUAGUUCACUCCCAGGUGGGAGACCAAAGCAGCUUGUUGUUUUUCCUGUUCUUCUGGCUUCUGUAAGGGAACGGUUCUUGGUUACUCCUCACAGCAACCCCACAAGACUCGUUUUACAGCUGAGCAGCGAAGCUACCUGGUGCGGGUCGCAUAGUGGAGCCGGGGUACCUUUGGGGAUCCCACCGCGCUUCAUCCAAAGGCUGUGCCUGGGGACUGUGACCUCGGCCUGCGCCGUGUGACCCGGGCCUUGAAACCAGCUAUGCAAGGGCGCCCCUGCUUGCUGGGAUUGCAGACGUGCGCCACCCCGCCGGCCUUGGACACCUCUCCACGCCUGUGCUUGGUGACUUUGCCUACUCCCCAGCCUCUGGAAGAGCCUGAGCUGAACGCUCUCUGUAGACUGCUGAGCCCUACAGGGACGGGCACCAGUGGGCCCGCCGGCACUGCACAGGGAGUCGGCUCAGGGACGCU